AGGUCAAGCGAACAAGGGCGCAGGGCGAAUGCCUUGGCACUGGGAGCCGAUGAAAGACGUGAUAAGCUGCGAUAAGCUUCGGGGAGCUGCAAAUAAGCAUUGAUCCGGAGAUUUCUGAAUGAGGAAACUCACCUGGGUUCAUACUCAGGUACGUUAUACUGAACUUAAAAAUAGGUAUAUCGAGGGAACCGCCUGAACUGAAACAUCUAAGUAGGGCGAGGAAGAGACAUCAAACGAGAUUCCGUAAGUAGUGGCGAGCGAACGCGGAAGAGGGCAAACCGGGAGUAGAAAUACUCCCGGGGUACGGACUGCUUUUAGGACUCAAUCUGUUAACCGAACGGCAUGGGAAGGCCGGUCAGAGAGUGUGAGAACCACGUAGGUGAAAACGGAGAGAGCUGCGCAGGAUCCAGAGUACGGCCAGACACGUGAAACCUGGUCGGAAUACGGGGGGACCACCCUCCAACCCUAAAUACUACCCAGUGACCGAUAGCGUAUAGUACUGUGAAGGAAAGGUGAAAAGCACCCCGGGAGGGGAGUGAAAAAGAACCUGAAACCCUGUGCCUACAAGCACCUAGAGCACGUCAAUGUGUGAUAGGGUACUUUUUGUAGAACGGUCCGGCGAGCGAUUGUAUGCAGCAAGGUUAAGGACUUAAGGUCUGGAGCCGAAGCGAAAGCGAGUUUGAAAAGGGCGUUAAGUUGCAUACAAUGGGCCCGAAACCGGGUGACCUACCCAUGGUCAGGUUGAAGUGGAAGUAAAAUUCCAUGGAGGACCGAACCGACCUCCGUUGAAAAGGCGGCGGAUGAACUGUGGGUAGCGGAGAAAUUCCAAUCGAACCCGGAGAUAGCUGGUUCUCCCCGAAAUAGUUUUAGGACUAGCCUCAAGUUAGAUACCUGGAGGUAAAGCACUGAAUAGCCUAGCGGCCGAGAGGUUAGCGAAGCUUAUCAAACUCAGAAUGCCAGAGUAUUGAUGCUUGGGAGUCAGACAGUGUCAGAUAAAUGUCAUUGUCAAAAGGGAAACAGCCCAGAUCUACAGCUAAGGUCCCAAAGUCAGGUUAAGUGGAAAACGAUGUGAAGAUACGUAGACAACCAGGAUGUUGGCUCAGAAGCAGCCACACAUUCAAAGAGUGCGUAAUAGCUCACUGGUCGAGCGUCUUUGCGCGGAGAAUUUAACGGGGCUAAACCUGACACCGAAGCUUAGGCAAUACAGCAAUGUAUUGGGUAGGGGAGCGUUGUAUACGCGGUGAAACAGUAGCGCAAGCGGCUGUGGAGUGUAUAGAAGUGAGAAUGCCGGAAUGAGUAGCGCGAAUGCAGUGAGAAUCUGCAUGGCCGAAAGCCUCAGGUUUCUGGAGGAAGGUUCGUCCGCUCCAGGUUAGUCGGGAGCUAAGGUGAGGCCUAACGGCGUAGCCGAUGCACAGACGGUAGAGAUUCCGUCACCACCAAAAGAGUUAAACACAGGGACACAUUUGAAGUCUCGGAGCCGGGUGUUGGUUCCGGUAGCGAUCGAGGGAAGUUAGUACCGAAGUCCGGGAUGGAAGAUGGCGAGAAAAGCUGUGUGUAUUUCUGCGGUGCCCGUACCGCAAACCGACACAGGUAGGUAGGAAGAAGAUUCUAAGGCCAACGGGAGAAGGGUUGUUAAGGAACUCGGCAAAUUGACCCCGUAACUUCGGGAGAAGGGGUGCUCCAGAGAUGGAGCCGCAGAGAAUCGGCCCAAGCAACUGUUUACCAAAAACACAGGUUUGUGCUAAAUCGAAAGAUGACGUAUACGAGCUGACGCCUGCCCGGUGCUGGAAGGUUAAGAGGAGAUGUGCAAGCAUUGAAUCGAAGCCCCAGUGAACGGCGGCCGUAACUAUAACGGUCCUAAGGUAGCGAAAUUCCUUGUCAGGUAAGUUCUGACCCGCAUGAAAGGCGUAAUGAUUUGGGCACUGUCUCGACAGCCCGCCCGGCGAAAUUGUAGUACCGGUGAAGAUGCCGGUUACCCGCGACAAGACGGAAAGACCCCAUGGAGCUUUACUGUAGCCUAAUAUUGGGUUUCGAUGUUGCAUGCACAGGAUAGAUGGGACACAGGGAAACAAGUGCUUUGGCAUUUGUGGAGUGGCCGUUGGGAUACCAUCCUUGCGAUAUUGGAAUUCUAACCUGCGCCUUUGAAUCAAGGCGGGGGACAUUGUUAGGUGGGCAGUUUGACUGGGGCGGUCGCCUCCUAAAGAGUAACGGAGGCGUUCAAAGGUUCGCUCAGCUUGAACGGAAAUCAAGCAAAAGAGUGCAAACGCAGAAGCGAGCCUAACUGCGAGACUGACGGGUCGAGCAGUAACGAAAGUUGGAGUUAGUGAUCCGGUGGUAUGUGAGUGGAAAUGCCAUCGCUCAACGGAUAAAAGUUACCCUGGGGAUAACAGGCUGAUCUCCCCCAAGAGUCCACAUCGACGGGGAGGUUUGGCACCUCGAUGUCGGCUCAUCGCAUCCUGGGGCUGUAUUCGGUCCCAAGGGUUUGGCUGUUCGCCAAUUAAAGCGGUACGCGAGCUGGGUUCAGAACGUCGUGAGACAGUUCGGUCCCUAUCUGUCGUGGGCGCAGGAUAUUUGAUGGGAGCUGUUCCUAGUACGAGAGGACCGGAGCGGACGUACCUCUGGCGCACCAGUUGUUCUGCCAAGGGCAUAGCUGGGCAACUAUGUACGGAUCGGAUAAACGCUGAAAGCAUCUAAGCGUGAAGCCGACCCAAAGAUAAGAUAUCCCAUUGUUUCAAACAAGUAAGACCCCUUGAAGACUACAAGGUUGAUAGGCACGAUGUGUAAGUGGAGUGAUCCAUUCAGCAAGCGUGUACUAAUAGGUCGAGGGCUUGACCACAA
rnacentral:rRNA from 1 species